GAUAUGGCUCAGGACGAACGCUGGCGGCGUGCCUAACACAUGCAAGUCGAACGGAAAAUUGAGCUUCGGUUCAAUUUUUAGUGGCGAACGGGUGAGUAACGCGUAGGCAACCUGCCCUUUAGACGGGGACAACAUUCCGAAAGGGAUGCUAAUACCGGAUGUGACGCUCCUAUCGCAUGAGGGGAGCGUGAAAGAUGGCCUCUACAUGUAAGCUAUCGCUAAAGGAUGGGCCUGCGUCUGAUUAG
rnacentral:rRNA from 1 species